CACCGACCCCGGGAGAAGCCACCGGCCCGGGAACGAGAGUCCCAAGCCGGGAAAAGCCCCUCAGGAGGAAGAACUUUCCGUGGAGGGUCAGAACACUGAGAUGGCUUCCCAGGAAGGUUGUGGAGUAUCCCCCUCUGGAAGCACCCCAAACCCGCCUGGAUGUGUUCCUCUGUCACCUGGUGACCCAGCCUGCGCAGGGGUAGUAUUUCAUCUGUCCAAGCCACAAAGUCUGAUCUAAGUUAGAAGAUGACACUGGGCUGUAAUAUUCAAGGAGGAAAUAGAGCUGCUCCAUGGAUUUGAAGUUGUGAAAAUGUAUUUUCAUGUAUAUAUCACAUCCAGUUAUUCCAUGAUGAGGCUCCCAAAACAUUAUCAGAAGCACUGGUUGGAGGCACAAAUAGGUUUGUUGCUAAACGUUCCUGACAGUUUUUAGGUCAGCUGCUUCCAGAAUGAGCACCUGGAUGAGCCUGAAUUAUCACCCACUCAUGGCCUGUAGAGACUCAAGAGGUCUAACAUAGGAAA